rnacentral:lncRNA from 1 species
GUGUAGAUGCACAUUUAGAAAAAAUACAUACAUACAAGGCAUUUCACCAUAGUGGGGAGGACUAUGAGCAGGACACAUGAUCAGUGCUGAUGGGCUACAGCUAUAAGCUUAAAAUUCAACAGCGAUUCAAACGGAGAAUUCCUUCAAAUAGAGCAGUGUUUCCCAACCGGUGUUCCGCGGCACACAAGUGUGCCGUGAGACCUUGCCUGGUGUGCCGUGGGAGGGAGGCGGGAGAGGCGGGGCGGCGGCGGCAUCUCCUGCUGGAUGCAAAUCCAAACAUGGCGGGCGCCUCCCUCGCUCCUUUGUAGGCGGACCAUCGAGAGAGAAAGAAAAGGAGGCGAAAGAGCGAGAGAAGGCGCCUGCGCGGAAAGAGGAGCGAGCAGUGCUCCUGCGCGCCGCGGCGCCCGAGAUCGCUUCUCCCCACCGCCCCUUGCUUCAAAAGAGGUCCUGGACCUCUUCUGAAGGCAGGCGGGGGCAAAAGUCUUUGCUCCCCCGCCUGCCUUCCCGGGACAGCGGAGACUUCUCCGCUGCCCCGGGCGAUCUUAAAAUGCUGGCGGGCGGGAGCGAAGCGUUCGCUGCCGACCCCCAGCAUUUUAAAAUCUCCUCGGGGCAGCGGAGACUUCGCUCCCGCCCGCCAGCAUUUUAAAAUCGCCCCGGGACAGCAGGGGCUUUUAAAAUGCUGGCGGUCGGCAGCAAAGCCCUCCUGUCCCCGGAGCUUGCGGGGCGGGAGGUGGGAAGAAGGGCUUUUCUUCCCACCGCCAGCCUUCAGAACAGCCUUCUGAAGGCUGGCAGUGGGAAGAAAAGCCCUUGUCCCCCCCCCCAGCCUUCAGAAGAGGUCGGGGGACAGACUGUCCCCGGACCUGGUCUGAAGGCGGUUUCCCUAGGAACGCAUUAAUUGAUUUUCAAUGCAUUCCUAUGGGAAACCGUGCAUCGCAAGACGAAAAACUCGCAAGACGAAGAGACUUGCGGAACGAAUUAAUUUCGUCUUGCGAGGCACCACUGUACUUUUUAUAUAGUCAAUAUAGGCACAGAGUUAAAUUUUUUAACAUUUUCUAAUGGUGGUGUGCCUCGAGAUUUUUUUCAUGAAACAAGUGUGCCUUUGCCCAAAAAAGGUUGGGAAACACUGAAAUAGAGGACUGUUCUCUGUAAAGCAGGACACACAGCCGCCAUUAUUUUGGUACACAUAAUUUUAUUAAGCA